GAUGAACGCUGGCGGCGUGCCUAAUACAUGCAAGUCGAGCGAAUGGAUUAAGAGCUUGCUCUUAUGAAGUUAGCGGCGGACGGGUGAGUAACACGUGUGUAACCUGCCCAUAAGACUGGGAUAACUCCGGGAAACCGGGGCAAAUACCGGAUGACAUUUUGAACCGCAUGGAUCGAAAUUGAAAGGCGGCUUCGGCUGUCACUUAUGGAUGGACCCGCGUCGCAUUCGCUAGUUGGUGAGGUAACGGCUCACAAAGGCAACGAUGCGUAGCCGACCUGAGAGGGUGAUCGGCCACCCUGGGACUGAGACACGGCCCAGACUCCUACGGGAGGCAGCAGUAGGGAAUCUUCCGCAAUGGACGAAAGUCUGACGGAGCAACGCCGCGUGAGUGAUGAAGGCUUUCGGGUCGUAAAACUCUGUUGUUAGGGAAGAACAAGUGCUAGUUGAAUAAGCUGGCACCUUGACGGUACCUAACCAGAAAGCCACGGCUAACUACGUGCCAGCCGCCGCGGUAA
rnacentral:rRNA from 1 species